GACGAACGCUGGCGGCGUGCUUAACACAUGCAAGUCGAGCGGAAAGGCUCCUUCGGGGGUACUCGAGCGGCGAACGGGUGAGUAACACGUGAGUAAUCUGCCCUGUGCUCUGGGAUAGCCACCGGAAACGGUGAUUAAUACCGGAUAUGACCAGCUACUGCAUGGGGGAUGGUGGAAAGUUUUUCGGCACAGGAUGUGCUCGCGGCCUAUCAGCUUGUUGGUGAGGUAAUGGCUCACCAAGGCUUUGACGGGUAGCCGGCCUGAGAGGGUGACCGGUCACACUGGGACUGAGACACGGCCCAGACUCCUACGGGAGGCAGCAGUGGGGAAUAUUGGACAAUGGGCGGAAGCCUGAUCCAGCAACGCCGCGUGAGGGAUGACGGCCUUCGGGUUGUAAACCUCUUUCAGUACCGACGAAGCGAAAGUGACGGUAGGUACAGAAGAAGGACCGGCCAACUACGUGCCAGCAGCCGCCGUAACAC
rnacentral:rRNA from 1 species